AUGCAGAUCCUGUGGUUCCUUCUAUGCCUGAUGGCAGCUCCCCUAGGUGUCCUGUCUGAGCUGACACUGCAGGAGUCGGGCCCAGGACUGGUGAAACCCUCGCAGACCCUGUCCCUCACCUGCACCAUCUCUGGAGGCUCUGUCACAAGUGCUAGUUGGAACUGGAUCCGCCAGCCCCCGGGGAAGAGCCUUGAGUGGAUGGGAUACAUUAAUUCUGCUGGCAUCACAGGUUAUAACCCGUCCCUCAAGAGCCGCACCUCCAUCACCAGAGACACGUCCAAGAACCAGGUGUUCUUGCAGCUGACCUCUGUGACCGAUGAGGACACGGGCGUGUAUUACUGUGCGAGAUACACAGUGACAGGAAGUCAGC